GUCAUCUGUGAUAGAGAAAAAUAGAAUCAAUUUCUAAGAGCCCAUCAUCUGGGAGGCAUCAAUCGCCUAUUCUGAAAGGCAGUAAAAACAGAGUAGCCAAGAGCUCUGCUCAGUCUCCUUCAAAGUACCUGAAUCAAAGAAAAGAGCACGUGAAGGUACUUUGAAGACUCGUAAAGGUACCAUUCAGAUGUUGAGCCACCCUUG